UGUCCAGUAGCACCUUAGAGACCAACUAAGUUUGUUCUGGUAUAAGCCUUCAUGUGCCUGCACACUUCUUCAGAUUCUGUGCAUGCACACGAAAGCUUAUACCAGAACAAACUUAGUUGGUCUAUAAGGUGCUACUGGACA